rnacentral:lncRNA from 1 species
AUGAACACAUCUACAUGAUUAGUUAAAACAAGGCUAAGGAUAAAGGGUUCCACAAUUCCACUGUUUUUUCUUUUUUCAAUAAGAAGGGGAUUGUGUCAUAAAAAGAGUAAGGAGAUGUACCCAAAACAAACAAAAGGCACGAGACUUUGGACUUUUGAGUCUUCUCUUCUUUAAUCUUCAAGAUUACUCUUUUACAACAUCAAGAGUACAUGAAUAAGAAUGGAAGGAAGGGAGGUCGACACAAUCUGAGAGACUUGAGGAAGGACACCUUAUUCCUUUUAAAGAGGGCAAAUAUAAGAAGUUGCUUAUUGUUGUAUGAGAAUUGAUUUAAACCCAACGCAAAAGCUAGAGAACAUAUCUUCGAUUGGAGUCAAUUUUAACAUUUAGAAGGAAUUUCACAACUAAGAUUCAAACAUCUUCUUACCUCAAUCAAAUCAUUGAACACCCCUAUAAACGCAUGUUAUGGUGUAUUUGGCUCAACGGAAGGGAUGAGAAGAGGGAUUUUAAUAAAGGGAAAGGGAGCAUAGAUACUAGAGAUGUGUUUGGUUCAAAUCAGAAGAGAUGAUAUGUUUUUAUGGUUUUGUGUUUGGUUCAAGAGAAAGAAAAAUUUUAAAUAAAUUUAUUUAUUUAUAUUGAGUUUCUCUCUUCCUCUCUAGAUCACUCUAAAAUAGAAGGAGAGCAAAGAGAGCUCUAAAAGAGAUUUUAACUUUCUCCCCUCCAUCUACCCCCAACCAAACAUAAAACCAUGCAUAUACUUAGUAAUGCUAUCAAUCAAAUCGAGAGUGUGUUCAAGGUCAAAUUCUCAAUUCUUGAGAAUAAUAAUAUAAUAAAGGUUAAUUUUUAGAUACCCAUGAAAAAUAGAUAACGCAUGUUUGAUUCAAAAAAUAGGAGGGGAAGAAUUUUUAAUGGUUUUGUGUUUGAUUAAGUUAAAAAAAAAAAAUUUAAAUG